UCAACGGCUCUUUUCAGAGCCACCCACACAUUCAAUUCAAAAGAG
rfam:Dipodomys ordii contig_70646, whole genome shotgun sequence.